CCUUUGCCCCCCUCACCUUCCAGAGGAGAGGAGUCACAUCUGAGGAUCCGAUCCCUGGGGCAGGAGGUUACAGUCACAGGAAGCAGCAGGGUCCUAUUGCUUUGGUGAGAAAAGACAGGGGAGAAAAUCAGGCAACGCCAUUGCGUUUAGAAGCCCCCUUCUCAGCAG